rnacentral:rRNA from 1 species
UACGAAGGGGGCUAGCGUUGCUCGGAAUCACUGGGCGUAAAGCGCACGUAGGCGGAUUGCUAAGUCAGGGGUGAAAUCCUGGAGCUCAACUCCAGAACUGCCUUUGAUACUGGCGAUCUCGAGUUCGGGAGAGGUGAGUGGAACUGCGAGUGUAGAGGUGAAAUUCGUAGAUAUUCGCAAGAACACCAGUGGCGAAGGCGGCUCACUGGCCCGAUACUGACGCUGAGGUGCGAAAGCUAGGGGAGCAAACGGG